GAGGGUAGAGCUCAGUGCUAGAGUGCAGGCUUAGCAUGCACAAGGUCCUGGGUUCAAUCCCCAGUGCCUUUA
rnacentral:tRNA from 1 species